rnacentral:rRNA from 1 species
CCUACGGGAGGCAGCAGUGGGGAAUAUUGCACAAUGGGGGAAACCCUGAUGCAGCGACGCCGCGUGAGUGAGGAAGUAUUUCGGUAUGUAAAGCUCCAUCAGCAGGGAAGAAAAUGACGGUACCUGACUAAGAAGCCCCGGCUAACUACGUGCCAGCAGCCGCGGCAAUACGUAGGGGGCAAGCGUUAUCCGGAUUUACUGGGUGUAAAGGGAGCGUAGACGGCUAAUCAAGUCAGAAGUGAAAACCCCGGGCUCAACCUUGGGACUGCUUUUGAAACUGAGUAGCUAGAGUGCAGGAGAGGUAGGCGGAAUGCCUGGUGUAGCGGUGAAAUGCUUAGAUAUUAGGCAGAACACCGAUGGCGAAGGCAGCUUACUGGACUGUAACUGACGUUGAGGCACGAAAGCGUGGGGAGCAAACAGGAUUAGAUACCCCAGUAGUC